CCCCUCUUGGGGUCGCACCUGGAGAGUUUCCAGUACUCUACCAGUCUCGACUACAGGAGGGAGAGUCAAGCAGAGAUCUGUCCAUUCCAUUCCAUUACUAGCUUGGGCAGGGGCUAGUGAGUGGAAGUCAAUCUGCUACAAGU